UUAUUACAAAAUAAAAGAUAAAUAUAAAACGAACUAAGGAUCAUCCUUGGCGCAAAACAACUGGGAAACGCCUCCUAGAUCAGAACAAACUCCUCGUUUUGCGGCUCCUCCUGAACCACCUGUUCUUCUCCUGUGGGGGUGUGAGACAGCAAGGGUGACCUCACACAUGACCAUAGCUCAACAAGUUGUGGGGAAACCAGUGGGCAUAAACUCACCAAAGGUUUAGAGUUCAUGUGAUGUGUAAGGCUAAUCAACAACAGGGGUUAAAGUUGAGCAUUGCUUUUAAUCAGUUGGUCAAAAUUUUAUUAGCAGUUACUAGAUGUAAGUAAAUACCGAACCUUAAUAAAAGUAAUAGAACAAAAUUAAUAAAUAAUCUCAUGCAAUGCAAAUGACAAAUUAAAUUUAAGUUCCAUAAAUUAAUCAUGCGAGAGUCCUGAGCUGCUCAUGACCGUGAGCUCGGCUAGUAUACCAGUUUUACACUCUGCAGAGGUUAUACCCUGUACCCACAAGUCAUGUUACCCAUGUGCCAAGGGAUCGCGACUCCCAUACACCUCUACCAAGGAAGCGAGGCAGGGCAACACUACGAGGCCUUUACAAAGUUCCACUAGCUUCCGAAAACCCGAUACAGUUUAUGGGAAGAGCACUUACAAGAAUCCCCCGUCUGACCGCCAUCGCAGCAAAAUCAACCCGAGAACCUCCUUGCAUGCAACUCCCCUACUGCCCUUGCCCCUUUCGUAUAAGGUAGUCUUCCACUAGGUUUCCUAAUUAGUCAGGCAAGGGCAUCCCAUUCCACCCUUGUGGUGGCACGUGUUUCUCAAGUUAAGCUCCAUGUUCCAAUUAACAUUUAUGAUCUUGACAUGAACAUAAAUAAAAUAACAGAAUAACUGGAACAUGGAUUUAAUGAAAUAUUAUCCCAAAACCAUGUAAAUCAAUAGCAAAACUACCCAAGUGAUUCAGGGAUAACAAGGUGAAAUGGAUAAACAGACUAGGGUGACCUAUUAGGUCCCAUCAAAAUUAAACCUAUGCAUGGAUAGUGAUAAUAAAGAGCAUUAUUGGGUAAUAAAAGUGGUCAAGGGCACAACUUGACUUCAAUGAGCUCCUACUCGGCUACUUCUAUCUGCUGGUCACCAGGAUUCUCAGUCACAUGUUCUUCUACUCGCCACAAUACAAACAAGCACAGUGUAUAGAGAAAAUUAACAUCACACCAAACAUAUAAACAAAAUACAUAAUAAUAAUCUACACAUUAAAAUAAAAUCCUAGGAAUAGGAAUCAUAAUCUUUUGGAGUUUUAGGUUUUAAGAUAUGAAUUUCCAAAGACUUUAUGUGCUUGAAAUAGGAUUAAGUGAGAAAUUAUUUUUCUUACUAUUUUCAUGACAAAACAGAGACUCUAGGUGAUAGAGAAUAAUAUUACAAAAUUUUAGAAACUAGAAUAGGUUAAUUUAGAGUUCAUAAAAAUUUUCUAUGAAUUAUACAAAUUAUAGCACUUAUUUUAUAUUAAAAAUCUAUUUUUCAAUUCAUUUAUUCAAUUUAAAUCAGCACUGGACUGGGCCUUAUUGUUUGGUAAGCACAAGGGUCCCUGUGCAAGAUAACCUAGACUCAGGGAACAACUGAGGUGGAUGGCGGGUCAUUUUAAGGAUUUCAGAGGGGCUCUUAAGCAAAAUGCACCGCGAAGGGAUAUUCUCUAUUAUCAUCUGUAGGAUCUUGAUCGUGUGGUUCGGAUUAGAUUACCCACUCAGCGAACCGGUACACGAUCUAUGCCGUUCAAUCCAAUUCUGACGCCCCAGAUUUAAUUACCCUAACUCGACUCUCGCCUGCACGAUCGAAAUGGGACGGCUCAUGCCAUACCCGACCGAAUCAGUAUUCCGAUUCAAAUCCCGGUUUCGCUUUUGAAUCCAGCGGCCCUGUCCUUAUCUUCCUCCGCCGCCUAGAUCAGCCGGCGGCAGGAGUCUGCCGUGGCGGGGCUCUCGCCGGCGAACCCAGAUCCGGUAGUUCGAGCGCCCAAAACCCCAUGCAAGCGGAUCUAUACGUUGCGGAAUGUAAUGCGAAUCUACAGGAAGGUAUCUCACCGGCAAUCGGUGCACCGAGAGAGUCUACCCGCGGCGCAUGGCGGAAUCGCCGUCGACGAUGAAAUCCGUCGACGCCGGUGGCCAACCCAGAGCAAUACGGACGCGACCGCCCUUCCCCGACUUAGAGGAGCUCGUUGAUGUUGCACCGAGAGUGCGGUCGACGGCAAGCCGGGAUCUCCUGCGGCGGAUCUUCUUCCUCUCGACGAUGAUGGCGGCGCCGGUUAGCUAUGUAGGCACAGAC
rnacentral:lncRNA from 1 species